rnacentral:rRNA from 1 species
CCUACGGGGAGCAGCAGUGAGGAAUAUUGGUCAAUGGACGCAAGUCUGAACCAGCCAUGCCGCGUGCAGGAAGACGGCUCUAUGAGUUGUAAACUGCUUUUGUACAAGGGUAAACGCUGAUACGUGUAUCUGUCUGCAAGUAUCGUACGAAUAAGGAUCGGCUAACUCCGUGCCAGCAGCCGCGGUAAUACGGAGGAUUCAAGCGUUAUCCGGAUUUAUUGGGUUUAAAGGGUGCGUAGGCGGUCGGAUAAGUUAGAGGUGAAAUCCCGGGGCUCAACUUCGGAAUUGCCUCUGAUACUGUUCGGCUAGAGAGUAGUUGCGGUAGGCAGAAUGUAUGGUGUAGCGGUGAAAUGCUUAGAGAUCAUACAGAACACCGAUUGCGAAGGCAGCUUACCAAGCUACUUCUGACGUUGAGGCACGAAAGCGUGGGGAGCAAACAGGAUUAGAUACCCUUGUAGUC